CCGCGGCUUGCGAGCCCGGUGACGUCACAGCGCGAGCCUGGAAUCCGCAGCUCCGCGGGUUACCUGGAAGCGGUGCGAGCGCCCAAUACCUGACAAGAACUGAGCCUGACUAUUACCAUGAUUGCAGCCUUCGCAGAACCUGAGCGAGAACCCAGUGAUGCCAUGGCUGUGCUGGGACUUCCGACUUUCAGAACUGUGGGCUAUUAAAUGGGUGUUGUUUUAAGCUGUUAGAAAUCUGGACUUUGCUGUCUCUGAAAAUCACCAUUUGCCUUUGGGAGAUGUGUGUUGGCAAGAAGAGGAGACAUAUUCAAACCCCACUGGCUAGGACAUCAGGAGCUCAGUAUGGAAUGCAAAGGCCACCCUAGACUGUCCUGCUAAUGCUGACUCUUCUGCCCAUCUCUGUUUUGAAGUUCUCCAUGGCUUUUAUUCUAGUGUAAGUUUGAUGUUAACAUAUAAUUUGACCUUUGAUUCACUCCUAUAUUGUAAGUCCGUUAAAUUAGCCCUAGUUUUUGAUAAAUCUGCUCCAUCCACAUAGCCUUGUGGUUAUGCAGUAGGAGGAGGUAGGCAGAGAGGGAAGCGUAGCUGGUUCCACAUUCACCCUUCACCUGAACGCAAGGUCGUCUCAUUGUAUCAAGAGGGACUGUAGACCCCAGGUUCCAGGAGACGGUGGUCAGGAGAGAGGUGUUUGAUUUGUCACAGUUGUGAUGGGAGAGGUGAAAAGACCAUAGGAUCUGGAGAAGUAACUCCCAGGAGAGCAACACAGGAGGGAUGAGAGCUGUCUUCUCCCUGCACUGUGCUCCAGAACAGUGAGCCCAGCAGUGGGGCGGGGAGGAUAAGUAGAGGGCAGACAUGAGUUAAGCCUGCGCCAUAGUUUAUGUGUCACUGCAACUAGAGUCUGAAAGAAAAUCAAGUUGGAAGAUCAGCGAAAAGUUGAAGAUCUAUAUAAAUGAGUCAUUGUGAUUUACCCCAACUGCCCAGUAAAGCUCUGGAAAAGGAUUUCCUUCAGCCUUCCUACAAAAUUCAUUCUGAAUUUUGUUUCUGAAUCUUCCAAACUUAGUUUUUACAAAAUUAUUUCUUUUUUGGACAUUCCUCUGAAAGGUUUGGAUGUAGAAUUUGAGCGAGUUGGGGUUACAUUUUGGCUACAAUUGCCUUCAAAACAUGCCUAGCUGAUCACAUUCACCUGGUAAACAUUUUCCUUUUAUAUAUAUCAAAGAAACAGAAAUACUUAUGAUUUAGUUUUUAGCUUCUUUAUUCAUUUGAACACUUCAAUAUUCUGUCUUCUUCAAUGAUUCCCCC
rnacentral:lncRNA from 1 species